rnacentral:rRNA from 1 species
UCCGUAGGGUGAACCUGCGGAGGGAUCAUUACCGAGUUUACAACUCCCAAACCCAAUGUGAACGUUACCAAACUGUUGCCUCGGCGGGAUCUCUGCCCCGGGUGCGUCGCAGCCCCGGACCAAGGCGCCCGCCGGAGGACCAACCAAAACUCUUAUUGUAUACCCCCUCGCGGGUUUUUUUUUAUAAUCUGAGCCUUCUCGGCGCCUCUCGUAGGCGUUUCGAAAAUGAAUCAAAACUUUCAACAACGGAUCUCUUGGUUCUGGCAUCGAUGAAGAACGCAGCGAAAUGCGAUAAGUAAUGUGAAUUGCAGAAUUCAGUGAAUCAUCGAAUCUUUGAACGCACAUUGCGCCCGCCAGUAUUCUGGCGGGCAUGCCUGUCCGAGCGUCAUUUCAACCCUCGAACCCCUCCGGGGGGUCGGCGUUGGGGAUCGGCCCUCCCUUAGCGGGUGGCCGUCUCCGAAAUACAGUGGCGGUCUCGCCGCAGCCUCUCCUGCGCAGUAGUUUGCACACUCGCAUCGGGAGCGCGGCGCGUCCACAGCCGUUAAACACCCAACUUCUGAAAUGUUGACCUCGGAUCAGGUCCGGUUUGCCCGCUGAACUUAAGCAUAUCAAUAAGCGGAGGAA